rnacentral:rRNA from 1 species
AUACGGAGGACGCGAGCGUUGUCCGGAUUCAUUGGGUUUAAAGGGAGCGCAGGCGGAGAUGCAAGCGUGACGUCAAAUUUCGGGGCUCAACCCCGUCUCGCGUCGCGAACUGCGUCCCUUGGUUGCGGGAAGGGGAGGCGGAACUCGUGGUGUAGCGGUUAAAUGCAUAGAUAUCACGAAGAACUCCGAUCGCGAAGGCAGCCUUCCGGCCCGUCAACGACGAUCAUGCUCGAAGGUGCGAGUAUCAAACAGGAAUAGAUACCCUGGUAGUCCGCACAGUAAACGAUGGACACCCGCGGUUUGGCCUGUAUGGCUGAGCCGCCAAGCGAAAGCGUUAAGUGUCCCACCUGGGGAGUACGCCGGCAACGGUGAAACUCAAAUGAAUUGACGGGG